CGGACGGGUGAGUAACGCGUGGGAAUCUGCCUACUAGCGGGGGAUAGCCCGGAGAAAUCCGGAUUAAUACCGCAUACGCCCUACGGGGGAAAGCUGGGGAUCUUCGGACCUGGCUACUAGUAGAUGAGCCCGCGUUAGAUUAGCUUGUUGGUGGGGUAAUGGCCUACCAAGGCAACGAUCUAUAGCUGGUCUGAGAGGACGAUCAGCCACACUGGGACUGAGACACGGCCCAG
rnacentral:rRNA from 1 species